ACCGAUGAUGAAGGUUAAAAGCUCUUAAAGGUGAAGAGAAAUGCCUGCUGAGG
rnacentral:snoRNA from 1 species